GCAUGCAAGUCAAACGGGAUGUAGUAAUACAUCUAGUGGCGAACGGGUGAGUAACGCGUGGAUGAUCUACCUAUGAGAUGGGGAUAACUACUAGAAAUAGUGGCUAAUACCGAAUAAGGUCAAUUAAUUUGUUAAUUGAUGAAAGGAAGCCUUUAAAGCUUCGCUUGUAGAUGAGUCUGCGUCUUAUUAGUUAGUUGGUGGGGUAAAUGCCUACCAAGGCGAUGAUAAGUAACCGGCCUGAGAGGGUGAACGGUCACACUGGAACUGAGAUACGGUCCAGACUCCUACGGGAGGCAGCAGCUAAGAAUCUUCCGCAAUGGGCGAAAGCCUGACGGAGCGACACUGCGUGAAUGAAGAAGGUCGAAAGAUUGUAAAAUUCUUUUAUAAAUGAGGAAUAAGCUUUGUAGGAAAUGACAGAGUGAUGACGUUAAUUUAUGAAUAAGCCCCGGCUAAUUACGUGCCAGCAGCCGCGGUAAUACGUAAGGGGCGAGCGUUGUUCGGGAUUAUUGGGCGUAAAGGGUGAGUAGGCGGAUAUAUAAGUCUAUGCAUAAAAUACCACAGCUCAACUGUGGAACUAUGUUGGAAACUAUAUGUCUAGAGUCUGAUAGAGGAAGUUAGAAUUCCUGGUGUGA
rnacentral:rRNA from 1 species